rnacentral:rRNA from 1 species
AUUGAACGCUGGCGGCAUGCCUAACACAUGCAAGUCGAACGAGUGGCGGACGUGUGAGUAAUGUUUGGGAAACCGCCUGAUGGAGGGGGUUAACUACUGGAAACGGUAGCUAAUACCGCAUACCAUCAGAUGUGCCCAGAGGGGAUUAGCCAGUUGGUGGGGUAACGGCUCACCAAGGCGACGAUCCCUAGCUGGUCUGAGAGGAUGACAGGCCACACUGGAACUGAGAAACGGUACAGACUCCUACGGGAGGCAGAAGUGGGGAAUAUUGCACAAUGGGCGCAAGCCUGAUGCAGCAAUGCCGCGUGUAUGAAGAAGGCCUUCGGGUUGUAAAGUACUUUCAGCGGGGAGGCGUUACCCGCAGAAGAAGCACCGGCUAACUCCGUGCCAGCCGCCGCGGUAAUAC